rnacentral:rRNA from 1 species
GACGAACGCUGGCGGCGUGCUUAACACAUGCAAGUCGAACGGAAAGGCCCUGCUUUUGUGGGGUGCUCGAGUGGCGAACGGGUGAGUAACACGUGAGUAACCUGCCCUUGACUUUGGGAUAACUUCAGGAAACUGGGGCUAAUACCGGAUAGGAGCUCCUGCUGCAUGGUGGGGGUUGGAAAGUUUCGGCGGUUGGGGAUGGACUCGCGGCUUAUCAGCUUGUUGGUGGGGUAGUGGCUUACCAAGGCUUUGACGGGUAGCCGGCCUGAGAGGGUGACCGGCCACAUUGGGACUGAGAUACGGCCCAGACUCCUACGGGAGGCAGCAGGGGGGAAUAUUGAACAAGGGGCGGAAGCCUGAUGCAGCAACGCCGCGUGCGGGAUGACGGCCUUCGGGUUGUAAACCGCUUUCGCCUGUGACGAAGCGUGAGUGACGGUAAUGGGUAAAGAAGAACCGGCUAACUACGUG